ACCCUCCCAGGGCUGCACCUGGAGAGUUUCCAGUACUCUCCCAGUCUCAGCUAGGGGAAGAAGAGACAAGCAGAGGCCUAUCCAUCCCAUUCCUCGCUUGGGCAGUGGCUAGUGAGUGGAAGGCAAUCUGCUACAAGU